AACGCGAAGAACCUUACCUGGGCUUGAACUGUAUUGGAAUAUGUCAGAAACGACAUAGCCGUAAGGCCGGUACAGAGGUGCUGCAUGGCUGUCGUCAGCUCGUGCCGUGAGGUGUUUGGUUAAGUCCAGCAACGAGCGCAACCCUUAUCGUUAGUUGCCAGCGAGUAAUGUCGGGAACUCUAGCGAGACUGCCUAGGUCAACUAGGAGGAAGGUGAGGAUGACGUCAAGUCCGCAUGGCCUUUAUGUCCAGGGCUACACACGUGCUACAAUGGUCGAUACAAAAGGUUGCCAAACCGCGAGGUGGAGCUAAUCCUAUAAAGUCGAUCUCAGUUCGGAUUGCAGCCUGCAACUCGGCUGCAUGAAGUUGGAAUUGCUAGUAAUGGCGUGUCAGCUACAACGCCGUGAAUACGUUCCCGGGCCUUGUACACACCGAGACGUA
rnacentral:rRNA from 1 species